rnacentral:rRNA from 1 species
GUAAUGCUUCUCUUGAGAGCGGCGGACGGGUGAGUAAUGCCUAGGAAUCUGCCUGGUAGUGGGGGAUAACGUUCGGAAACGGACGCUAAUACCGCAUACGUCCUACGGGAGAAAGCAGGGGACCUUCGGGCCUUGCGCUAUCAGAUGAGCCUAGGUCGGAUUAGCUAGUUGGUGGGGUAAUGGCUCACCAAGGCGACGAUCCGUAACUGGUCUGAGAGGAUGAUCAGUCACACUGGAACUGAGACACGGUCCAGACUCCUACGGGAGGCAGCAGUGGGGAAUAUUGGACAAUGGGCGAAAGCCUGAUCCAGCCAUGCCGCGUGUGUGAAGAAGGUCUUCGGAUUGUAAAGCACUUUAAGUUGGGAGGAAGGGUUGUAGAUUAAUACUCUGCAAUUUUGACGUUACCGACAGAAUAAGCACCGGCUAACUCUGUGCCAGCAGCCGCGGUAAUACAGAGGGUGCAAGCGUUAAUCGGAAUUACUGGGCGUAAAGCGCGCGUAGGUGGUUUGUUAAGUUGGAUGUGAAAUCCCCGGGCUCAACCUGGGAACUGCAUUCAAAA